rnacentral:rRNA from 1 species
AGAGUUUGAUUCUGGCUCAGAUUGAACGCUGGCGGCAUGCCUUACACAUGCAAGUCGAACGGCAGCAUGAUCUAGCUUGCUAGAUUGAUGGCGAGUGGCGAACGGGUGAGUAAUACAUCGGAACGUGCCCUGUAGUGGGGGAUAACUAGUCGAAAGAUUAGCUAAUACCGCAUAACGUCACAAGACCAAAGAGGGGGACCUUCGGGCCUCUUGCCAUCGGAUGUGCCCAGAUGGGAUUAGCUAGUAGGUGGGGUAACGGCUCACCUAGGCGACGAUCCCUAGCUGGUCUGAGAGGAUGACCAGCCACACUGGAACUGAGACACGGUCCAGACUCCUACGGGAGGCAGCAGUGGGGAAUAUUGCACAAUGGGCGCAAGCCUGAUGCAGCCAUGCCGCGUGUAUGAAGAAGGCCUUCGGGUUGUAAAGUACUUUCAGCGGGGAGGAAGGGAGUAAAGUUAAUACCUUUGCUCAUUGACGUUACCCGCAGAAGAAGCACCGGCUAACUCCGUGCCAGCAGCCGCGGUAAUA